CAUUUCAGGGAUGUAAUGCAGUACAGGACAUUACCACACUCCUUUCUUCUUUGGAGGAUUCUCCCCUCAAGACUUCAGUGCCACAGAGGGAAGGAGCUAUGCGGAGACCGUCCAGUUCACUGACUACUCCAUGGAACUCAAGAACAACGGUCAUUAGAAAGGAUAAAGGGAAGCAAUCUGUAGCCUCCUCUCUCCCCACCACCCCCUGCAGUUUCUCAUCUCAAUAGGCACACAGGUUCUUUAUCUAGAAGACCUUCAUUAUUUGAAAAUAACUCCCCUAGCCACCUGUGACUGCUUCUUCAGGACCUUUUUAAAAUAUUUUGCAUUUAUCCCUGCUUGCAGUGGAGGAGAUUCUUUAAAACUGCAGAUGUUUUCUGUGUAGCAUUCACAUCUCAUGAAUCACAGGGCUGCCUUGUCAGAAUACACUGAACAACAACUGGCUAUUCACGCAUAGAAAGAAUCCUGAAUGAACUACCCCAGUGAUCUAGAUGGGACAACUGAGAGAGUUAAAGAGAGAAAAGAUCUACCCAAGUCACAAAACAAGUCAAUCCCGGAGUAGAACUCAAGAGCUUUUGGCUCCCAGCUCCACAUGCAUUACUUUGGAUCAUGCCGCCUUGCUGCCAAUAUACUAAUAACAAUUUACUGCACAUCUCAAUACAGUGCAGUAAGUUCUGUGUGCUUAAGCAGAACAAUUCAUUUUUUUCUCAUUAAUACUAAGUCUAUUUGUUGCUCAGCAGGACUAAUAUUUAUACAUUCUAGAUCUUCUGAUGAAGUAGCAAGCUCUGAUUUCAGUUCAAUCUGACAGGUUCUGAGAGCAAAAUGUCAUUAUGGAACUUCAAAAGCACUUGCUCCAUAGCAAGAUCUUUACAAUUAUUUAUAUAAUAUCUUUCAACUCCUGUUGGCUCCUUGAUCUUCUGUGGAAAUCCCAACUCCUCUGCCAGUUUUGGUUUAUGAAAAGUUGACCCUUAAGGCAUAACUAUUUUAAAAAAGAUAUGCCAAAAUGUUACAAGAUAUAGUAGAUUUCACCCAGUUUGAUAUCCCUUCUGGAAUACGCACUUAAUAAAAAUUGCAUUUUUACUAAGUAAUUGGCCAUAUGAAUCAUGUGCUAUUCAUGUAUUGUUCAUGAAUCAAACCAAGAGCCAUUUAAAAAUGACUAGCAUCAGGGAAACUUAAUAGCUUUUCAACAGAUUAUUUAAAUGACUGUAGCUAUGAUUUCCAAUAAUUUUUAUUCAAACAGCAAGGCUUUAGUAAACUGUGGCAGGACUCUCUCCGAAAAGAGUACCUUUCUGAUUAAAACCUUUUGCUACUGGAUUUAAGAAAUUAAAGAAAAAAGGGGAACGUCUGAGUUAUGUAUGCAUCUGUCAAAUCCUGGAUCUUUAUAGUGUAACAAUUUGACCAAUCACAGGUAAAAGAACGGGUGGUUUGGGAGGGAUAUAUUUCACUUUAUGAAUCACAGCUAAUAACGUAGUUAAGUACUUUCUGAACAGGCACUUCCUGCAGACUGACCAACCUGUAGAUUGUGUUCCUAGUAGUUUCUGGUGCAAUAGUUUGGCAUGCAUGAUGCAUUUGGAGAGUGGAUUUGCCAGCAUUCCAGCAACAUAUGCAACUUUAGCUAGGAUUUCUUAUCACAGAUUAGCACCAGUUCGAAUUCCUUGAUUGAUUGAUUGUCUAUACUAUAAAGCCAGAUGUAUUUCACAGCAUCAGCUGUAUUCACCUAUUUCUUUUCUUGUUGUUGCAGCUUGCAUCCUUGACAUGAUUUUGCCAAUGGCUACCUGGCCUCUCAAUACACUGUUGCUUUUCAGGAAUAUUUUCUAAUAAUGACAACUAUAGUUAACAUUUAUAUUUAUACUGUACAAUUAUACUUAACUAUUUAAAAUUUCAAAAAGCUGCAAAACAUUCAUUAAUUUGCCAAAUAAAAUCACUAUGGGGUAGACAAAUAGGAUCAUUACCCCCCAUGUUAUAGAUGAGGAAACUGAGGCUGAAAGAUUAAAUGUCUUGCCCAGUGUCACAUGGCAAGUCUACUGGCAGAAGGAGGGGUAAACUGAAAGUUACCCUUCUGGGUGCAUUCCUCGAGACCGGGUCUCUCACCUUUGUUUAAUAGUGUUGACCAAAUCUUAGUAGAGGGAUUCCCUUGUGGACUCCUCUCUUCUCACUCAGGAUCCCAUGUGAUCUCAACUACAGAAAUUGUUUACAAAGAAAAAUAAUAUUAGGAAAGUGCCAGCCUGCUGUGACCAGCCAGCAACUCCCCGGUCACCAGCAAGUACUCUGUGGACAACCAGCAGUUCACUGAACACAGUCUGAGAAUCACUACCUUAGCACUAUAUCUUGAGGUUUAUUCCUCUAGGUCACAUUGCCUCCUGGUACAGCAAUGUUAACUAAUCCUUUAUUAAACAAGUCUCCAAGCACAAAUAAAGAAUUUGGGUUGUUAACAUACAUAAGUUAUAUUAAAGAAGGUUUCAGAUCAGCACAUUGUAUUUUGUAGCAAAGUCAUAAAAUAUGCUAACAUGAUAACAUCUAAUGAGGGAAAUGUUGCAUGCAGAUGUCUGUUUGCCUAUUAUCCCAUAAAAUGACUGUAUAUUUUUAUUUAUAUGAGUAACAUCAGACACAAAUGUGUUACCAUAAAUGCAUUCAUUUAGGAAAAUGUAUAAACACAAUAUGAAUCUAAUAUAUAUGUAAAACUGUUUUAAAACCUGAUAUUUAAUGUUUAUAUAAAGA